CGGUGGGUCUCAGGCGGGGGGCUAGGGGUCCCCUGAGAGGCUAAAGGAGCCUCGACCGCAAACCCCCUAUACGGCGGGCCGAAAGCUGAAGCGAGGCGUGUAAGGCUGCAGACCCAGCUAGCCUCAAGCAAUGAUUACCUGUCCCCUGGGGCUGGCGGUCACGGAGCACCCCUCGUAAGAGGGGUGUAACCGUGUUUGCCAGGCGAACCUGGCCAGGCCCGGGAGGGAGCAACCUAAGCCUGGACGCCCAGUGCUCAGGGGGUGCGGGUAUGAGCGGCGGGCUGGUUUGGGUCUGCAGAGUCUGCACGUCGAGCUUCAGUGACCCACCG
rnacentral:SRP_RNA from 1 species